CGAAAGCCUGACGGAGCAAUACCGCGUGAGGGAGGAAGGCUCUUGGGUUGUAAACCUCUUUUCUCAGGGAAGAACAGAAUGACGGUACCUGAGGAAUAAGCAUCGGCUAACUCCGUGCCAGCAGCCGCGGUAAUACGGAGGAUGCAAGCGUUAUCCGGAAUGAUUGGGCGUAAAGGGUCCGCAGGUGGCAUUGUAAGUCUGCUGUUAAAGAGUUUGGCUCAACCAAAUAAAAGCAGUGGAAACUACAAAGCUAGAGUGUGGUCGGGGCAGAGGGAAUUCCUGGUGUAGCGGUGAAAUGCGUAGAUAUCAGGAAGAACACCAGUGGCGAAGGCGCUCUGCUAGGCCAAAACUGACACUGAGGGACGAAAGCUAGGGGAGCGAAUGGGAUUAGAUACCCCAGUAGUCCUAGCCGUAAACGAUGGAUACUAGGCGUAGCUCGUAUCGACCCGAGCUGUGCCGUAGCUAACGCGUUAAGUAUCCCGCCUGGGGAGUACGCAGGCAACUGUGAAACUCAAAGGAAUUGACGGGGGCCCGCACAAGCGGUGGAGUAUGUGGUUUAAUUCGAUGCAACGCGAAGAACCUUACCAAGGCUUGACAUGUCACGAAUCCUGAUGAAAGUUAGGAGUGCCUUCGGGAGCGUGAACACAGGUGGUGCAUGGCUGUCGUCAGCUCGUGUCGUGAGAUGUUGGGUUAAGUCCCGCAACGAGCGCAACCCUCGUUUUUAGUUGCCAGCAUUAAGUUGGGCACUCUAGAGAGACUGCCGGUGACAAACCGGAGGAAGGUGGGGAUGACGUCAAGUCAGCAUGCCCCUUACGUCUUGGGCUACACACGUACUACAAUGCUCCGGACAAAGGGCAGCUACACAGCGAUGUGAUGCGAAUCUCAUAAACCGGAGCUCAGUUCAGAUCGAAGGCUGCAACUCGCCUUCGUGAAGGAGGAAUCGCUAGUAAUUGCAGGUCAGCAUACUGCAGUGAAUUCGUUCCCGGGCCUUGUACACACCGCCCGUCACACCAUGGAAGUUGGUCACGCC
rnacentral:rRNA from 1 species